rnacentral:lncRNA from 1 species
ACCUUGGAACAGUAGAGCAUCGUCAGUGCAGCUAUGGCCAACAGUGUUUGGGGCUAUGACAGUGCAUCUCAAAAAUCUCAGAUCGAUGAUGACUACUAUCAACGAUGAAAACCAAAAGAAAGAGGCAAAAAACUAACUGAAGCAGGGAGGGAUUUUCUUAAGAGAAAUCUGACGAUUGCCUGCCGACCAAAAAUUAGGCUUUGAUGCUCAAGGA